UACGAAGGGUGCAAACGUUGCUCGGAAUCAUUGGGCGUAAAGCGCACGUAGGCGCCUUGCAAGUCGGAUGUGAAAUCCCACGGCUCAACCGUGGACGUGCAUCCGAAACUGCUCGGCUCGAGUAUGGAAGAGGGUCGCGGAAUUCCCGGUGUAGAGGUGAAAUUCGUAGAUAUCGGGAGGAACACCAGUGGCGAAGGCGGCGACCUGGGCCAAUACGUGACGCUGAGGUGCGAAAGCGUGGGGAGCAAACAGGG
rnacentral:rRNA from 1 species